UACGUAGGGUGCGAGCGUUAAUCGGAAUUACUGGGCGUAAAGCGUGCGCAGGCGGCUUUGUAAGCCAGAUGUGAAAUCCCCGGGCUUAACCUGGGAAUGGCAUUUGGGACUGCAAAGCUUGAGUGCGGCAGAGGGGACUGGAAUUCCUGGUGUAGCAGUGAAAUGCGUAGAGAUCAGGAGGAAUACCGAUGGCGAAGGCAGGUCCCUGGGCUGACACUGACGCUCAUGCACGAAAGCGUGGGGAGCAAACAGG
rnacentral:rRNA from 1 species